rnacentral:misc_RNA from 1 species
GAAAUGCGAUAAGUAAUGUGAAUUGCAGAAUUCAUUGAAUCAUCGAAUCUUUGAACGCAGCUUGCGCUCCUUGGUAUUCCUUGGAGCAUGCCUGUUUGAGUAUCAUGAAAUCUUCAAAGUAAAUCUUUUGUUAACUCAAUUGGUUUCUACUUUGGUAUUGGAGGUCUUUGCAGCUUCACACCUGCUCCUCUUUGUUCAUUAGCUGGAUCUCAGUAUUAUGCUUGGUUCCACUCGGCGUGAUAAGUUAUCUAUCGCUGAGGACACUGUAAAAGGUGGCCAAGGUAAAUGCAGAUGAACCGCUUCUAAUAGUCCAUUGACUUGGACAAUACUUUUAUGAUCUGAUCUCAAAUCAGGUAGGACUACCCGCUGAACUUAAGC